rnacentral:rRNA from 1 species
CCAGACUCCUACGGGAGGCAGCAGUGAGGAAUAUUGGUCAAUGGGCGAGAGCCUGAACCAGCCAAGUCGCGUGAAGGAUGACGGCCCUACGGGUUGUAAACUUCUUUUGUCAGGGAGCAAUUGAGUCCACGUGUGGGCUUAGCGAGAGUACCUGAAGAAAAAGCAUCGGCUAACUCCGUGCCAGCAGCCGCGGUAAUACGGAGGAUGCGAGCGUUAUCCGGAUUUAUUGGGUUUAAAGGGUGCGUAGGCGGAAUAACAAGACAGGGGUAAAAAUCGGGGGCCACACCCCGACGAGCCGUUGAAACUGGCUUGCUAGAGUGGGCGAGAAGUAUGCGGAAUGCGUGGUGUAGCGGUGAAAUGCAUAGAUAUCACGCAGAACUCCGAUUGCGAAGGCAGCAUACCGGCGCCCAACUGACGCUCAGGCACGAAAGCGUGGGUAUCGAACAGGAUUAGAUACCCCGGUAA